UUUCCACUUUCUCUCCCAGACCUGGCCGGAGAGACCCAUGUCAAGUCCUGGUUAACUUGAAGCGUGUGGUUCAAGAAAGGAGAGGAAACCGGCAGCUGGCGCUGAAGGCUUUCCAGGAGAUCAGAUGGGUCCAAGGGAGGAUGUCCCAGGGAAGUAGAGCGAGGCUCGUUGGAGGCAUGGAGAUAAUUAGGAAUCUUUGAGCAAAUAUGGGGAAUGAUUGAGUUGCAAGAUAAAAGAGUACCUUCAUUUUGGCAAGAUGAUUUAUGAGUAUUCUUGAUACUUACCUCUGCAGACAAGUUGGGGGGGAUAUUGGCCAGAGGAGUCCACACCACGUACAUUGCACACUUACUGUGCUCUGCAUUGAAAUCACAAAAAUGAAUAAAACAUGGUCCUUGUCUUGGAGAAACAGCCUGGAGGCCAUGGUAUCCGAGUUCCCACCAUUACAGUUACUUUUUAGUUAAAC